rnacentral:rRNA from 1 species
ACGCGAGAGGUGAAAUUCAAUGACCGUCGUAGGACGAACAACAGCGAAAGCAUUUGCCAAGAAUGUCUUCGUUGAUCAAGAACGAAAGUUAGAGGAUCGAAGGCGAUCAGAUACCGCCCUAGUUCUAACCCUAAACGAUGCUGACUAGCUAUUCGCCGUCGUUAUUCCCAUGACGUGGCGAGACGCCCCCGGGAAACCUCAAGUCUUUGAGUUCCGGGGGUAGUAUGGUUGCAAAACUGAAACUUAAAGGAAUUGACGGAAGGGCACCACCAGGAGUGGAGCCUGCGGCUUAAUUUGACUCAACACGGGAAACCUCACCAGGCCCGGACACCAGAAGGAUUGACAGAUUAAGAGCUCUUUCUCGAUUUGGUGGGUGGUGGUGCAUGGCCGUUCUUAGUUGGUGGAGUGAUUUGUCUGGUUAAUUCCGGUAACGAACGAGACUCUGGCCUACUAACUAGUGGAUGGGUGUCCUGGUAACGGGCCCCAUCCGAUAAUGUCUUCUUAGAGGGAUGAGCAGCGAGUAUAGCUGCAGGAGAUUGAGCAAUAACAGGUCUGUGAUGCCCUUAGAA